AGUAACUGCGAGUGAAGAGGGAAGAGCUCAUCAUUGGAAUCUGGCGGUGUCUUGCACCGUCCGAGUUGUAGAUGAGAUGAGUAGGCCAUCUGGACUGCAUGAUAUCCAAGUACAAUAGGCCGUCAGUGGGACAUCAUAGAGGGUGACAAUCCCGUCUUUGAUAUCAAUGUACGAGUCCUAUACGAUGCCUAUCUCUACAGAGUCGAGUAGUUUGGGAUUUGCUGCUCUAAUGUGGGAGGUAGAUUCCUUCUAAAGCUAAAUAUUGGCAAGAGACCGAUAGAGAACAAGUACCGCAAGGGAAAGAUGAAAUAGAACUCUGUAAAGGGAGUCAAAAGUCGUGAAAUUGUUGCGAGAGAAGCGAUUCAAGUCAGCUUAGCUAGGCCCAUCAAGCUACCAUACUUUGGACUAGCUUUGCCAGCAGUCUUAUCCUUUAGCGGUUUGACUCCUCCCAGGUUUUCAUCCUGUGUGCUGGUGGAAUGGCUUGCAAUCGACCCGUCUUGAAACACGGACCAAGGAGUCUAACAUGUAUGCGAGUAUAAGGGUGACAAACCCGUAUGCGCAAUGAAAGUAACUUUCGGUGAUUGCUGAAUGACCUGACGACCAUGCACGAAAUAUUUAUGCACCU
rnacentral:rRNA from 1 species